rnacentral:rRNA from 1 species
UUAGGAAUCUUCCACAAUGGGCGAAAGCCUGAUGGAGCGACACUGCAUGAAGGAUGAAGGCUCUAGGGUCGUAAACUUCUGAACUAGGGACGAUAAUGACGGUACCUAGGUAAUAGCACCGGCUAACUCUGUGCCAGCAGCCGCGGUAAUACAGAGGGUGCGAGCGUUAUCCGGAAUCACUGGGCGUAAAGGGCACGUAGGCGGUUUAUUAAGUCCGAUGUUAAAGCGUGAGGCUCAACCUCAUCACGGCGUUGGAUACUGAUAAACUUGACUUCUGGAGAGGAAAGUAGAAUUACCAGUGUAGCGGUGAAAUGCGUAGAUACUGGUAGGAAUACCCAUUGCGAAGGCAGCUUUCUGGACAGAUAGUGACGCUGAGGUGCGAAAGUGUGGGGAGCAAACCGGAUUAGAUACCCCCGUAGUCC